GCAAGUCGAGCGGAAGGCCCUUCGGGGUACUCGAGCGGCGAACGGGUGAGUAACACGUGAGUAACCUGCCCCUGACUCUGGGAUAAGCCUGGGAAACCGGGUCUAAUACCGGAUAUGACACUUUGUCGCAUGGUAUGUGUGUGGAAAGUUUUUUCGGUUGGGGAUGGGCUCGCGGCCUAUCAGCUUGUUGGUGGGGUGAUGGCCUACCAAGGCGACGACGGGUAGCCGGCCUGAGAGGGCGACCGGCCACACUGGGACUGAGACACGGCCCAGACUCCUACGGGAGGCAGCAGUGGGGAAUAUUGCGCAAUGGGCGGAAGCCUGACGCAGCGACGCCGCGUGGGGGAUGACGGCCUUCGGGUUGUAAACCUCUUUCAGCAGGGACGAAGUUGACGUGUACCUGUAGAAGAAGCGCCGGCUAACUACGUGCCAGCAGCCGCGGUAAUAC
rnacentral:rRNA from 1 species